rnacentral:tRNA from 1 species
GGGUGGAUGGCCCAGUGGUUAGAGCACCAGCCUAGGCUUUGGGAAACCUGGGUUCAAGUCUCUGUUCUACCA